UACGUAGGGUGCAAGCGUUAAUCGGAAUUACUGGGCGUAAAGCGUGCGCAGGCGGUCCGUUAAGACAGAUGUGAAAUCCCCGGGCUUAACCUGGGAACUGCAUUUGUGACUGGCGGACUCGAGUAUGGCAGAGGGGGGGUAGAAUUCCACGUGUAGCAGUGAAAUGCGUAGAGAUGUGAAGGAAUACCGAUGGCGAAGGC
rnacentral:rRNA from 1 species